CCUACGGGAGGCAGCAGUGGGGAAUAUUGCACAAUGGGGGAAACCCUGAUGCAGCGACGCAGCGUGAGCGAUGAAGUAUUUAGGUAUGUAAAGCUCUAUCAGCAGGGAAGAAGAUGACGGUACCUGACUAAGAAGCCCCGGCUAACUACGUGCCAGCAGCCGCGGUACUACGUAGGGGGCAAGAGUUAUCCGGAGUUACUGGGUGUAAAAGGAGCGUAGACGGCUGUGCAAGCCAGAUGUGAAAGCACGGGGCUCAACCCCGGGACUGCCUUUGGAACCGUGUGGCUGGAGUGUCGGAGAGGCAGGCGGAAUUCGUAGUGUAGCGGUGAAAUGCGUAGAUAUUAGGAGGAACACCAGUGGCGAAGGCGGCCUGCUGGACGAUGACUGACGUUGAGGCUCGAAAGCGUGGGGAGCAAACAGGAUUAGAUACCCCAGUAGUC
rnacentral:rRNA from 1 species